rnacentral:rRNA from 1 species
UACGUAGGGUGCGAGCGUUGCCCGGAUUUAUUGGGCGUAAAGGGCGCGUAGGCGGCCACGCACGUCCGUUGUGAAAUCGCCCGGCUCAACUGGGCGGGGUCAGCGGAUACGGUGUGGCUAGAGCAAGCUAGGGGGCAAUGGAAUUCCCGGUGUAGUGGUGGAAUGCGUAGAUAUCGUAAGGAAGACCAGUGGCGAAGGCGGGUCUCUGGACAGUUCCUGACACUGAGGCACGAAGGCCAGGGGAGCAAACGGG